rnacentral:lncRNA from 1 species
AUUACCAGGUUAUACUGGCAUCAACUAGGGAGUGAGACCCUAUGUUGAAAAAGUGAGACUAUUGAACUGUGUACCUAUGCUAAAAUGAAUCAACAAGGACUUUUUUUAUUUAUUUUUUUUGAGAAAAUCAAUUUCAAUUUUUUUUUUUUGAGAAAAUCAUUCUUUUAAACAAAUUGCCCCAACGCUUUUUUUUUUCAAAGGCAUGAACAAAUGACUUCUUUUUCUUUUUUAAUUUCCUAGGAAAAAAUUCAUCAGACUAAGAUUUUGAUCCUAGAAGAAAGUUCAUCAAACUAGGUCUUUUUUCUUCUUCUUUUUUUGUAUCUUAAGAGAAAGAUUCAUCAGACUAAGAUUUCUAUCCUAGGAGAAAGUUCAUCACACUAUGGCUUCUAUCUUAGAAGAAAAAUUUAUCAGACUAAGAUUUUUAUCCUAGGAGAAAGUUCAUCAGACUGAGUCUCUUCUCUUCUUCUUCUUUUGUAUCUUAAGAGAAAGAUUCAUCAGACUAAGAUUUCUAUCCUAGGAGAAAGAUUCAUCAGACUAGGUUUUCUGUCUUAGGAGAAAGGUUUAUCAGACUAAGAUUUUGAUCCUAAGAGAAAGUUCAUCAGACUAGGUCCCUCUUCUUUUUUUGUUAUCUUAGGAGAAAGAUUCAUCAGACUAAGAUUUAUGUCUUAGGUGAAAGAUUCAUCAGACUAAGAUUUUGAUCCUAGGAGAAAGUUUAUCAGACUAGGUAUUUUUGUUAUCUUAGGAGAAAGAUUUAUCAGACUAAGAUGUUUAUCCUAGGAGAAAGAUUCAUCAGACUAGGUUUCGAUCCUAGGAGAAAGAUCAUCAGACUAGGUCUUCUAUCUUAGGAGAAAGAUUCAUCAGACUAAGAUUUUGAUCCUAGGAGAAAGUUCAUCAGACUAAGUCUCUUUUCCUCUCUUUUCUUUUGGUAUCUUAGGAGAAAGAUUCAUCAGACUAAGAUUUCAAUCCUAUGAGAAAGUUCAUCAGACUAGGUCUUCUAUCUUAGGAGAAAAAUUCAUCAGACUAAGAUGUUUAUCCUAGGAGAAAGAUUCAUCAGACUAGGUUUCGAUCCUAGGAGAAAAUUCAUCAGACUAGGUUUUCUAUCUUAGGAGAAAGAUUCAUCAGACUAAAAUUUUUAUUGGGAGAAAAUCCAUCAAACUAGGACUUUUAUCCUAGGAGGAAAAAUGUGAAAAGCAAUGGCAAAAUUUUAUGCAUAUGCAGACAAAUAAAGACAAAGAUUUUGAGAAACUUUCCUUUGACAGCUCUUCUCUUCUUUUAUUUUUCUUCUCUUUUUUUGUUUUUUUGUUUUUUAUUUUUUUUUAACCACUUUCCUUGCACUUCUUUGUUCCUGUUCAAACAAAGAAAAUUCUGUCAGUUUUAAAAGUGGUGGUCGGUUUGUGGCCUUGAGUCUUGAGCAGCUUGGCUUUUGCUCGAUCAGGUUGAGUCGGUCUCAAGAGACUUUUGUUCUGCACCAACUCUAAUUGUUUCACACCCAGUACCAUUUGUAUUUGCAGCUCAAACAGCCUUAUCCCAACUAGAGAUCUUUGCUUAGGUGACCUUUUCUGAUAACUUGAAUGACUUCCUACUUUGAGCAAUUUGUUUGUCAUAUAUAAUCACAAGUAUCUUUGUUUGUGCCAAGUAGGCUGACAAGAGUCUUUUGGGGAAGCCUUUGCAUGAAUCCUCAAGGCAUGUUGACAGUAACAACUGAGUGUGCUGGCCACAUUUACUUUGUGCAACUAAAAAGCUGGUAGCAGAUUUUGAAAUCUUUUCUUGCUUGUUUUGAGAAGGACUGACUCAGAGUGAAGGACAUGAUGAUGCAAAGAAACAAGUAUUAACAAGAAACACCCCUGUCGGGAGGGACAAAAGGAAGAGGCUUUUUUUUUCUGUUUUUUGUUUCCUUUUUUUUCUUUUUCUUUUUUAAAUAACUAGCCUUAAUGAUCAUGACAUGCAUUUUGGACUUAAUGGCCUGAUCUAUCAAACUGGCUGAAUCUUCCAUUUAGCAUUCUUAUGACUUUGAAGUCAGGCUUGUGCAAAUCUGUGCAUCAGCUUCACGACUCACUUUCGACUAGUGGUGCCCCCGGGGGAUUUUCACCAACAAGUCUCUCUCAUUUGUUUAUCUCUACUUACCGUCGUUUUACAGUGCCCGUGAGGGUUUUCACUAAUAAGACUCUCUCAUUUUUUCUUAUUUAUUUUUCUUUUUCUUUUGCUUUCUUGUGCGAGCAGCUUGACAGUGUUCUAUGUCGCGUGACAACCGUUUCUCAUUGGAUGUUUCUCUUGUCAUUCUUGAAAGCUUAUCAAGAGGUCUUUAUUUUGAAGGUUUUGUGAUAGGGUUGGAAAGAAGGGUUGGCAUGAAAGCUCAAAUAGACUCAAACUGAGGGGUUGUAGAUUUACAACUCUUGGAAUCGACUCUUUCAAAAGUGAAAUAAAAUCUUUGCCCCAAUUUCAGAUAUUGGGGAUUUUUUUGGGAUUUUUUUUUCUUUUUUUCUUUUUUUGAAUUCUUAUUUGGUUGGACCAAACCGUGAGGCUGCCUACGUAUUGUUUUUUAAGGAAUCAGGUCGAACGUAGUUCAAACAUCUGACCUAACUAUAAUUCAUCUUUCUUUCUGUUUCUUUUUUUUUAUUUUCUUUCUUUGGUUUUUCAAAACAAGUUGCCCCAGCUUCUAUUUUUUGAGGGCAGACAAUUCUUUUCUUUUUCUUUUUUUUUCUCACUUGAACUUUCUAGGAAUUUCCCAGUUUGUACUCUUGGAACAUGGACUCUUUUCUUUUCUUUUUUUUCAUUUUUCAUUUUUUUUUAAUCUUGACUCUAAACUUGAUUCCAAAAGAGGGUGGUCAAAGAAAAUAACACAGGCUCAAAAGGGGUAACGAAGGAUAUAAAGUGUUUGGAUAGUAGUAAAAAGGCCUCCUAGCCUCGAGAACGCCAAACAUAGUAUAUUUUCGCAGUCACAGCAUUGACGAACAUGUCUGUAUUCUUGGUGUGUCGUGGUCACAAGACACUUUCCAUCCGUUAGUGUCAAACUUUCCAACAAACUUCAAUUGAUUAAACAUCUUCAAGCCUUAUCUUCACAAUGAUUUGAAGGUGAAUUUUACUUCGACCUUAAUUCCAAAGUACUUCAACUCUUUACUCAUCCUCAAAAGUAUUUUUU